GAUGAACGCUGACAGAAUGCUUAACACAUGCAAGUCUUUGGCGAAGCUGUGCUUGCACAGCCUAGCCAAGGCGGACGGGUGAGUAACGCGUAAGGAACUUGCCCUGCAGUCAGGGAUAACAGACGGAAAACGACUGAUAAGACCUGGUAAAGUCAGGCGGACUCAUGUCCAGCCUGAUGAAAAGAGAUGCUGCAGGAGAGCCUUGCGUCCUAUUAGCUUGUUGGUGGGGUAACGGCCCACCAAGGCGAUGAUAGGUAGCCGGCCUGAGAGGGUGGACGGCCACAAGGGGACUGAGAUACGGCCCUUACUCCUACGGGAGGCAGCAGUGGGGAAUAUUGGACAAUGGGGGCAACCCUGAUCCAGCAAUUCUGUGUGCACGAUGAAGGUUUUCGGAUUGUAAAGUGCUUUCAGCAGGGAAGAAAAAAAUGACGGUACCUGCAGAAGAAGCGACGGCUAAAUACGUG
rnacentral:rRNA from 1 species